rnacentral:lncRNA from 1 species
UUCCACUUAUCUAGGAUUACCUCUAGGAGCCCCCUUAUAGAUUAGAAGCAGUAUGGGAUGUUGUGGAAGAGAAGUUUUGCAUAAAACUGUCAUUGUGGAAAAGAUAAUACAUUUCAAAAGGGGGAGGCGUACUUUGAUUAGAAGUACCUUAUUGAGCUUGCCAAUUUAUUACAUGUCUUUGUUUGUCAUCCCUAGAAAUGUUAGAUUGAGAUUAGAGAAGAUUCNNNNNNNNNNNNNNNNNNNNNNNNNNNNNNNNNNNNNNNNNNNNNNNNNNNNNNNNNNNNNNNNNNNNNNNNNNNNNNNNNNNNNNNNNAAAAAAAAGGGGGGGGGGGGGGGGGGGGGGGCGGGCUAGGAAUUAGAAGUUUCUCUCUCUUGAAUCAGACCCUUCUUAGUAAGUGGUGUUGGAGAUAUGUUUUUGAUGGGAAUGUCUUUUGGAAGCAAAUUAUUGAGGGGAAGUAUGAGAAGGAAGGAGUGGGUUGAUCCUUGUGAAGUUAGGGGUGGUUAUGGGGUUGGUUUUGGAAAGGUAUUUGGAAGGGAUGGGACUUCUCUUCAGCAAAAUUUCCUUUGAAGUGGGUAAUGGUAGAAGGGUAAAGCUUUGGAUAGACAAAUGGUGUGGGGAGGAGCCCUUUUGUAUGUCCUUCCCUUCUUUGUUUGCUUUGGCUCUGUCAAAGAAGGCUUGGUUGGCGGAUUUUGGGAUGACUCAGGAGGAAUGGGACAUUGUUCCCUGCGCUUCAUGAGGCAUUUUAAUGAUUGGGAGUUGGACAUCGUUGAGACUUUUUUCUCCAUUCUGAGGGGGAAUUUCAUUGGGAAGGAUGAUAAUGACAAGGUGGUUUGGAAAGAUGAUAAAAAUGGAUUGUUUUUUGUCAAAUCUUCCUAUGAGGUUUUGGCUGUGGGGAGGGUGGUCAUCUUUACAAAGAAAAUUAUUUGGAAUCCAUGAGCAUAGUCCAAAGUCAGUUUUUUUAUUUUUUAUUUUUAUUUUUUGCAUGGGAAGUUAGUUGGAGAAGAGUUUGAGCUUUAGAUAAUCUCUAGAAGAGAAGGUGAUCCUUGGUGAAUAGAUGUUAUAUAUGUAAGCAGGAAGGGGAGUAUAUUGAUCAUUUACUUUUUCCUUGCUCUAAAGCAAGGAUUCUAUGGCACUUAUUGUUUUCCUUUUUUUAGGGUGGCCUGAGUGAUCCCUUCUUCGAUGAGAGUUUUGCUCUUGAGUGGGAAAGGAUCCUUUGUAGGGAAGAAAAGGAAAAAGGUAUGGAAUGCUGUUCCCUUAUGCAUUUUUUUGGAUAGUAUGGAGGGAACAAAAUCAAAGAGCUUUUGAAGACAAGGAACAAAACGACAAAUGGUUAAAAUGCUUGUUUCUUUGUAAUGUCUCUUCUUGGAUUAGCAUUUACAUAAGGGAAGACUCAAUGUUCUUGUUUGAUUUUGUAGAGUGGGUGGGGUCUCGUUGAGGGCCUGGAUGUUUUUUGUGCUCUUUUUGGAGGGCUUCCUUUAGGUGCUCUUGCAUAUGUGCUGUUUUUGAAAAGUGAUCUGAGGAAGUGGAAUAAGGAGGUAUUUGGGAAUGUCUUAGCUAGGAAGGAUUCAGCUCUGGAGUCGAUAAACUAUUGGGAUAGUAUAGAAAGAUUAAGACCCCUGUCUAAAGAAGAUAAGAUAAGCGAGAGAAAUGCCAUAGAUGAGUACAACCACCUAGCUAUUUUAGAAGAAAUUUCUUAGAGUCAGAAGUCAAGGACGCUUUAGCUGAAGGAAGGAGAUAAUAAAAUGAAAAUUUUUCACUGCAUGGCCAAUGCUAGGAGAAAUGGAAAUUUCAUCAGUAGCCUCACCAUUAGUGGAAUCUGCUUGGAAAAAGAGGAGGAGCUUAAAGAAGGCAUUUUUUCCCACUUUAGUGAAAUGUUUAAGGAACCUAAAGUGGGAAGACCUGAUAUAGCAACUGAACUUUUCAAGAGCAUUGAUUCAAUGGACAGAGAGGUCUUAGAGGGCCCUUUUUCGGAGGAGGAGGUGACUUCAGCUUUGGCAGACCUAGGAGGUGACAAAGCCCCUUGGAAAUUUUCUUUGGCCAGAUGGGUUUUCUUUGGCUUUUUGGAAAUUUUGUUGGCCUACAGUGGGUAGAGAAGUGAUGCAGUCUUUUGAGGAGUUUCAUGUGCAGAAUUCCAUGAUCGGAGCCUUAAUGCAACAUUCUUAGUUCUCAUCCCUAAGAAAGGAAGGGCAGGUGACGUGAAGGACUUUAGACCAAUCAGCCUGCUGGGGAGCCUUUAUAAACUUCUUGCAAAAGUCCUAGCUAACAGAUUGAAAAGGGUGAUGGGCAAGGUGGUGUCAAAUAGUCAGAACGCUUUUGCGGGGGGUAGACAGAUCUUGGAUGCUGUUUUGAUUGCAAAUGAGGCGGUUGAUUCGAGGAAGCAUAGCUCUAAUGCGGGCUUAGUUUGCAAAUUGGAUAUAGAAAAAGGCCUACGAUCACGUUAGCUAGAAGUUUCUCCUUUUAGUCUUAGAAAAAAUGGGUUUUGGCCCCAAGUGGAGACAGUGGAUUCACUUAUGCAUUUCCACUGUGAGAAUGACAGUUUUGGUUAAUGGCAGCCCCACAGAUUUUUUCCCGACCUCUAGAGGGCUGUGGCAAGGGGACCCUCUUUCACCAUAUCUCUUGUGUUGGUGAUGGAGGCUCUUAGCAGUUUGAUUGCUAAGGCUAUUCAGAGAGGGUUUAUUAGGGGCUUCAAGAUUGAGGGCAGGGGGAAAUUGAGAAUCAAGUUUCACACCUUCUGUUUGCCGAUGAUACCCUUCUCUUUUGUGAGGAUGAUGAAGAGCAGCUGAAUUUUUGGAAAUAUAUUAUCAUGUGUUUUGAAUUGGUGUCAGACUUGAAAAUAGAUCAACAAAAAAGUGAAGUUAUUCCAGUAGGGGAGACAAUGGAUGUGAAUAGAGCAACUUCUCUUUUUGGGUGCAAAGUAGGAAAGCUUCCCACGUCUUAUCUAGGAUUUACUGACCCCUUGGGGCCCCUAAAAAGCAUUGUGGUGUUUGGGACUCAAUUGAGGAAAGGUUUAAAAGGAAAUUAGCUGUUUGGAAAAAACACUACCUUUCCAAAGGAGGAAGACUUGUCCUUUUAAAGAGCACUCUUUCAAAUCUUCCUAUUUAUUUUAUGUCCCUCUUUGUUAUUCCUAGAAAAGUGAGAAUUAAAUUAGAGAGAAUUCAAAAGGACUUUUUAUGGGGAGAUUUGGGAGAUAAAAGCAAAAUCCACUUGGUAAAAUGGUCAAAUGUGUGUAAGGCUAAAAAUUUUGGAGGAUUGGGGAUAAGAAGACUGCAGUGUCUCAAUCAAGCUUUUCUAGGCAAAUGGCUAUGGAGAUUCUCUGUUGAGCGUGAAAGUUUGUGGAGGAAGAUCAUUUAUGAAAGUUUGGGGAGGUGGAGGGGGGUUGGACUACUAGAGAGUGGAGGGAGUCCUUUGGGACUGGCCUUUGGAAGGACAUUAGAAAAGGGUGGGAAGAGUUUAAUGCUAGAACUUCUAUCCGUAUAGGAAAUGGUAACCAUACAAGCUUUUGGUGGGACAUUUGGGCAGGGGACUUCAAGCUAAAAGAUGUUUACCCUACUAAUUUUAGGAUAGCAUCCCAUAAAAAUGCUACAGUUGCAGAAUCUUGGAAAAGAGAAGGGGAUGAAGGGGGGUGUUGGGAGGUUCAUUUUAGAAGACCCUUCCAAGAUUGGGAGGUAGAGGAGGUGACUCGCUUUUUGGGUUCUCUUGACCUGUUAAAGGUGCAAGAAGGUGAGGACACUUUAUGUUGGAAAGAAGAUAGGAGAGGAUUGUUCAAUGUCAAGUCUUAUUAUUGUUCUCUAAGUGGGGAGAAUAAUUUUUUUUUUCCGGGGAAGGAGGUUUGGGGAUCCCGUGCUCCUCUUAGAACUUGCUUUUUUGCUUGGGAAGUUGUUUGGGGAAGGAUCCUAACUAUAAACACCUUAAUGAAGAGGGGAUGACAAAUGGUCAAUAGAUGUAAUCUUUGUAAAGAGAGUGAAGAAUCAGCUGAUCACAUUUUGAUUCAUUGCACCAAGACGAGAGCUUUGGAUCUUUUUAUUAGCCCUCUUUGGAGUGACUUGGGUAUUUCCAAAUUCAGUAAGAAAUCUCCUCCUACAAUGGAAAGUUAAGGGGUUUCAAAAGAAGAAUAAAAUAAUUUGGCGCUUGGCUCCCAUUUGCUUAUUUUGGUGUGUUUGGAAAGAGCGUAGUCAAAGAACCUUCAAAGAUGAAGAAUUCUCUGACCAGGGUUUAAAGGAUCUCUUCUUUCAGACUCUUUUUGAGUGGACGAGGGAUUCUUUGGAGCUGGAUUUCCCCUCUAUGUUGAUUUUCCUAGAUACUCUUUGUUGUGGUUAACUUUGCUUUGUUUUGUUUGUGUGGUCUUUCUUUGUUUGAGAUGUGUUUGUCUUGUUUCUGUGUAUGCAACCUGUAUACGUAUGGCGCACCCCCUCCUUUUUAGGCACUUAUUAUUGCAUGUUCUUGUUGUCUAUCAAAAAAAAAAAAAAAAGGUCCUGUGUACAUUGGUGUACUUUGCUUCUUUUUCUAAUUUAUACAUACAUUCCUUUACCUAUCAAAAUUUUUUUUCUCCUCUCUUAGCAUGAUGAAGAUGAGCA